rnacentral:rRNA from 1 species
GAUGAACGCUGGCGGCGUGCCUAAUACAUGCCAGUCGAGCGAACAGACGAGGAGCUUGCUCCUCUGACGUUAGCGGCGGACGGGUGAGUAACACAUGGAUAACCUACCUAUAAGACUGGGAUAACUUCGGGAAACCGGAGCUAAUACCGGAUAAUAUAUUGAACCGCAUGGUUCAAUAGUGAAAGACGGUUUUGCUGUCACUUAUAGAUGGAUCCGCGCCGCAUUAGCUAGUUGGUAAGGUAACGGCUUACCAAGGCAACGAUGCGUAGCCGACCUGAGAGGGUGAUCGGCCACACUGGAACCGAGACACGGUCCAGACUCCUACGGGAGGCAGCAGUAGGGAAUCUUCCGCAAUGGGCGAAAGCCUGACGGAGCAACGCCGCGUGAGUGAUGAAGGUCUUCGGAUCGUAAAACUCUGUUAUUAGGGAAGAACAAAUGUGUAAGUAACUAUGCACGUCUUGACGGUACCUAAUCAGAAAGCCACGGCUAACUACGUG